GUCUCUCACUUGGGGGGAGUCGCGUCGUGAGCUGCCCCGUGGAGAGGCCUCCCUGGGGAGGGGCCAGGCCUCUUGCGGACAGGAACAUGAGCGAGCGGAGAAGUGGGUCCUGCGCCCACACCUCCGCCAACCCAUCAAGGUCACCCGCGGCCGUGCUCAGAUGGAAAAACUUAACGUGUUUCUACGCUAAAGGGAAGGAGCCAACAGAACAGACCCCUUCAUGUGAUCCUCAGCUCCUGCUUCCAGCCUGUGUCAUCUCGUGAACUGAAGGAGACUUCCCAGCUCAGCAAAUGAUGCUCUUGGAAGCCCCUGGGUGCACCUGCCUUCUAACGACUGGGACUCAGACCGUGCUGGCAGCUCUCCCUUUGCUUCUCACAGUGGAGCUCUUCGUCUCACUUUUGAUGACACUGAAGGGGUACUGAUGACAACGUUCGUCUCACUGAAUAAAGCAACCGGUUUGUAUUUCUUUUCCAGAAAAUUACCAUGUGCAGAAUAUUCUGGUUCGAUCAUACAAAUUUUUGAAGACGAUCAGUAGUAAGCAAUUAGAAAAAUGUGGAAAGAGUAUAGGAACUGUCAUAUGAAGUCUUGAUGACUGAGAAGCUUGGAGAGAGAGGAGAAAGAUCGCAAGUAGAAAGACCACGUGUUAUUAAUUUUGUCUUUAGCUGACCAGCAAAUAUCACCUGAAAUGUUUAUGUUGGUUCCCAUUUUCCAAAACACAGUCCCAUAUAUGCUCGGUUGCCCUCACGACAGCUGGACUAUGAGUCAGGAAUGCUUUCAUCUGCCGGAGGCAGGAAACCAGCUUCAAUAGAUGGAGGUUAUUUUUCUCAUUUGAGGAGAGGUGGGCAGGUGGCCUUCUGGAGCUGCUGCGGUGGCUCCCAGGGUCACCAAGAAUCCAGGCUCCUUUAACCUUCCACUUCACCUGUGGCCUCUCAAAGUCACUCGAGGUUGCAGGACAGCCGCUCUAGUCAUCACACCCGUGUUCCAGGCUCGAAUAAGGAGGAAGGGAAGGAGCAGUCGCCAGGGACAUCUUUGCAUUAUGAGAAAGGUAAGAGCUUUCCCAACAGAGCUUUCAUCAGACAGAACUGUGUCCCGCGGCCAUCCGACCUUCGAAAAGAGGAGAGAGCAAUUCUGUAGCCUUCGCAGCCUCUACUGGGGACGUGAGCAACAGCCACGCAUUUGGGGUGGGAGUCCGAUUAGCCAGCCAGCAGGAGCCACGCAGGUUUAUUUCCACCUCCUGUUCGCAGAUGAGGAACUAAUGCGCACCCUGGUGACUCAGUCACACGGGGCAGAGCUGGGGCGCAAAACUCCAUCAGCCGCUUCUAGUAACACUCAUGUUGCUUCCACUGAACUACUCGGCCUCUGAAUUCUACUACAGGGAAGUAUAUGUCAUGAAGAGGAGAGCUCCAAACCACAUAAUAAUGGGGAUAUAUUUUCAGUGGCUUGCUUUUGAACA